rnacentral:rRNA from 1 species
GGGGAAUAUUGCACAAUGGGCGAAAGCCUGAUGCAGCAACGCCGCGUGAGGGACGACGGCCUUCGGGUUGUAAACCUCUUUUAGCAGGGAAGAAGCGAAAGUGACGGUACCUGCAGAAAAAGCGCCGGCUAACUACGUGCCAGCAGCCGCGGUAAUACGUAGGGCGCAAGCGUUAUCCGGAAUUAUUGGGCGUAAAGAGCUCGUAGGCGGUUUGUCGCGUCUGCUGUGAAAACUGGAGGCUCAACCUCCAGCCUGCAGUGGGUACGGGCAGACUAGAGUGCGGUAGGGGAGAUUGGAAUUCCUGGUGUAGCGGUGGAAUGCGCAGAUAUCAGGAGGAACACCGAUGGCGAAGGCAGAUCUCUGGGCCGUAACUGACGCUGAGGAGCGAAAGGGUGGGGAGCAAAC